rnacentral:misc_RNA from 1 species
UCCGGUUUGACACCGGCAGUCUCUCAUGAGUCCCCGACAUUACUCGCUGGCAACAUAAGACAGGGGUUGCGCUCGUUGCGGGACUUAACCCAACACCUCACGGCACGAGCUGACGACAACCAUGCACCACCUGUAUACGGCCCCGAAGGACACCAUAUCUCUAUGGCUUUUCCGUACAUUUCAAGCCUUGGUAAGGUGGGGAUGACGUAGCUAAGCCUUC